rnacentral:rRNA from 1 species
AGCGAACGCUGGCGGCAGGCCUAAUACAUGCAAGUCGAGCGAAUGGAUUAAGAGCUUGCUCUUAUGAAGUUAGCGGCGGACGGGUGAGUAACACGUGGGUAACCUGCCCAUAAGACUGGGAUAACUCCGGGAAACCGGGGCUAAUACCGGAUAACAUUUUGAACUGCAUGGUUCGAAAUUGAAAGGCGGCUUCGGCUGUCACUUAUGGAUGGACCCGCGUCGCAUUAGCUAGUUGGUGAGGUAACGGCUCACCAAGGCAACGAUGCGUAGCCGACCUGAGAGGGUGAUCGGCCACACUGGGACUGAGACACGGCCCAGACUCCUACGGGAGGCAGCAGUAGGGAAUCUUCCGCAAUGGACGAAAGUCUGACGGAGCAACGCCGCGUGAGUGAUGAAGGCUUUCGGGUCGUAAAACUCUGUUGUUAGGGAAGAACAAGUGCUAGUUGAAUAAGCUGGCACCUUGACGGUACCUAACCAGAAAGCCACGGCUAACUACGUGCCAGCAGCCGCAGUAAUAC